AGUUGGUCGGCUUGUCGCUGGCACUCAAAAGGUGAAAGAGGAAAGUCCGGGCAACAAAGAGCAUCCCACUUCCUAACGGAAAGCAGGGCGCAAGUUCUGAGUAAUGUGGAAGAAAACAACCGCCUAUAAAUAGGUAAGGGUGAGAAGGCGUGGUAAGAGCACACCAGCCGUGUGGUGACAUGCGGGCUGCACAUCUUGGGAGUUGAAAGUUCAUGUAAACUGGCGUUUGAAGGCUGCUCGUCUGAGCCAGAGGGUAGAACGAUAGAGGCGGAUGGUGACAUACGUCGUAGAUAAAUGACAGGCGCUUCUUCUGGAAGAACAGAACCCGGCUUACAGACCGACUG
rnacentral:RNase_P_RNA from 1 species